UGGGGAAUCUUCCGCAAUGGACGAAAGUCUGACGGAGCAACGCCGCGUGAGUGAUGACGGUCUUCGGAUUGUAAAGCUCUGUUAAUCGGGACGAAUGGUUUGUGUGCAAAUAGUGCAUAGACAUGACGGUACCGGAAUAGAAAGCCACGGCUAACUACGUGCCAGCAGCCGCGGUAAUACGUAGGUGGCAAGCGUUGUCCGGAAUUAUUGGGCGUAAAGCGCGCGCAGGCGGACUAGCCAGUCAGUCUUAAAAGUUCGGGGCUUAACCCCGUGAUGGGAUUGAAACUACUAGUCUAGAGUAUCGGAGAGGAAAGUGGAAUUCCUAGUGUAGCGGUGAAAUGCGUAGAUAUUAGGAAGAACACCAGUGGCGAAUGCGACUUUCUGGACGAACACUGACGCUGAGGCGCGAAAGCCAGGGGAGCGAACGGG
rnacentral:rRNA from 1 species